UCACUCUGAUAUGAAGACUUUUUCAUUCAUUAAUUUAAGUAGCAACUUACUUUCAAUUAUGUGUUGAAAGUAGCAUCACAACUUCAUUUAUUUCGAUUACAAUUUUUAAAAUAACAAAGUGGUCCACUUUCGCCAUCUCCCUUUAUUAUCGCAAUGGAAGGACUCAACAUUGCCAUUCAAGAAGCUUGUGAAAAAUCCUUAUUUCACGACAUUCGCCUCCCAAAGAGUGACUCUAACCUCUCUCAUCCUUUUUACACCGAUGAUGCGCUCUUUAUAGGCGAUUGGUCACAGAACAACCUUAAAAACUUAGCAAGAAUACUUUGGUGCUUCCACGUGGCCUCCACUUUAAAGUUAACUUUUAUAAAUCGAAGGAGUUUCGUCUUGGUGUCUCCGAGAGGAAAUUGGCUUGUAAUGCUAGGAUACUUAGGUGUGAUGUAGGAUCCUUUCCUUUCAAUUACCUUCAGGUCCUGGUGGGAGCAAAUAUGAAUCUCAUUUAAAAUUGGAAGCUCACAGUUUGAGAUGAUUCUUUAUCACCAUGUUUAGAGGGUCGAAGGCACCAAUACUGACCCAUGGCUUACUAUGUUAGAGGGUUAGAUGUUUGCAUGACUCUUGCAUGUGCAUAUAUUUAUAUGCUUAGCGGGCGGGGUCCAAUGGUUAUUCUGUAUGCUAUUACUUGCUAUACCUGUAGAAAAGUAUGGAAAAAACAUUCAAGUUUGCAAAAUCUAGUGCUUUUUUGGGGGAAUUGUACAACUAUAAUGGUUCAAGUUUAAAGCUAAAGUUGCAUAAAAUGGCUUCUAGUGUUGAACACUCCUUCCAAUGAACAUUUAAUAGGAACCAAACAUAAAUAUAUUUACAUUAAAUAGUAACUUGAACAAAAUAGUAAUAAGAAAAGUUAAAGAGCAUCUAAAUGACCUAUAUUUGAGGGAUGACUAGUUCUCCAAGAUAAUGGCCUACUAUCAAGAGGUAGACCAAUGGUGUUAAUGUUGCUCACUCUGAUAUGAAGACUUUUUCAUUCAUUGAUUUAAGUAGAAACUUACUUUCAAUUAUGUGUUUAAAGUAGCAUCACAACUUCAUUUAUUUUCGAUUACAAUUUUUAAAAUAAUAUGUAAGAUGCUAUGAUAAACAAAACAAUGAAGGUACAUUGCUUUUUUUUUUCGGUUAAAAUAACAAAGUGGUCCACUUUCCCCAUUUCUCUUUAUUAUUGCAAUGGAAGGACUCAACAUUGCCAGUCAAGAAGCUUGUGAAAAAUCCUUAUUUCACGACAUUCGCCUCCCAAAGAGUGACUCUAACCUCUCUCAACCUUUUUACACCGAUGAUGCGCGCUUUAUAGGGAUUGGUCACNAACUUAGCAAGAAUACUUUGGUGCUUCCACGUGGCCUCCGCUUUAAAGUUGACUUUUAUAAAUCGAAGGUGUUUCGUAUUGGUGUCUCCGAGAGGAAAUUGGCUUGUAAUGCUAGGAUACUUUCGUGUGAUGUAGGAUCCUUUCCUUUCAAUUACCUUGGGGUCCUAGUGGGAGCAAAUAUGAAUCUCAUUAAAAAUUGGAAGCUCACAGUUUAAGCUAGUUUCUCUUCUUGGAAAGUUAACACGUUAUCGAUUGGUGGGUGUCUCACCCUUUUGAAGUCGGUCUUACGAAGCCUACCUCUAUACUAUUGCUCAAUUUUCAAGGCUCAUAUUAGUGUUAUUGAGUCCCUUGAAAAAAUUUGUAGAAGAUUUCUUUGGGGUGGAAUCGAGAAGAAAAGAAAAAUACUUUGGGUCGCUUGGCCUAAAGUAUUAGCUUAAAAGGAAAAUGGAGGUCUUAAUGUUGGUUCAUUGCGUGCACUCAACAUUGCACUAUUGGUCAAACGAAUUUGGAGACCAAAGGAUGUUGAAAAAAUCUACAGUGAAUAACAUUAUUACAAGCAUACACAACCUACAUAGAAAGCCAUUAAAAUUGCUGUCAAAAAGAUCAUUAAAUGGCGUAUGGAACAACAUUGUAAAGGCAAACUCGGAACUUGAGAUGAUGGGAGUCGUCCCAGAUAACUUUAUUUUUUGUUUUUCAAGGAAACAAUGAGGAUACCAACUUCAGGAAUGAAAUUUAGCAAGGUACAUCUUCCUUCUCCACACAAUUGCCAAACAUAUUAUGCAUUAGAGAAGUGAAAAUCGGGGUACAUUUUGUAAUUUAUAUUUUGUUUUGAUGUCGUAUUUUCCCUUAAUCUCUGUACUCUCAAAAUUGUCUCUUUUGGUUGGUGCCUUUCUUGGCGACUUGCUAAGCUUGGCCUUAAUAAAUUCUCAUUGGUUCCAAAUAACAAAAAAAGUUAAUUUUCUGAUGGUUCGCAUAAAGGUGCAUACAUACGACAUUUAUUAACACAAACAAAAACUCAGUAGUUCAUACUCAAUUAAGAACAAUCCAAAUAAUUUAGAUAAUACUAUCGAGAAAUCCCUGUAGGUGAGUGUAAAUGGCUAUACAUGAUAUCACAUAGUCAUAAAUUUAAUGACAGCCUUGAAAAAAUGUCUCAAAUUAAGUUGUUUGAUUGAAUUGGUAAAAUGUAGUAGUUAACCCAAAAGUUUUUUGGAAGGUUCAUUCAUUAUCAAAAGUUAAAAGUUGUUUUGAUGAGUGAAAUCUUUAAUCCGUUAUAUAGUCAUAGAAUAAGAAAAUAAUGUGUUCGUAUUUUUUACUAAUCUGUUAUAGAUAACAAUCUGAAAUGAAUAUUUCAUAUGUAUUUAGAAUGAUACAAUACUUCAAAAACAUUCUUUAAUGGAAUUGUAAUUUUUCUGUUCUAGAGCACUAAUGAUCCUUUGGGUUACUACUUUUCAACCCCAAAGUAAUAUCAUUGUCUUAAGAUUUCAUCAGCAGUCGAAAAUACAAAUACAACCAUAAUGGCUCAUAUCACUUGAGAGCUCGCAAAUUCCAUUGCCCUUGUGUUUUUGAUAACAUUGCUCACGACAAUCACCAAGAGUACAAGCAUUUGGAUCCAACACCUCUGUACAUCUAUGCUGUCCAUUCACAGUGGAAGCUCCAACUGAAAAAUGAAAAAUAAAAUAAAAUAAACACGUUAAAUUUUAAUACGAACCAUAAAGUAAUAGAUAUUACAUAUAUGGCUAUCUUAAUAAAUAAAAAUAGAAGUCCUUGUAUGAAAAAUUCUCCAGCAAGAGAUUGGACAUGUUUGCAAUCAAUUAACAAAAUAUUAUCGAAUGCCUGUUCCCAGUUACAAAGAAACUUCAUGUAUAUUAAAAUUAAAAUAAUACCGUUCCAAAAAAAAUAUUUUAAUUUUAAAAUAAAAUUUUGGAAGCUAAACAUAUACAGAUCGAGAACACAAACCUGAGAUUACAACAAUGAAAACUAAGAAGAAAGAUGCAAGCUUGGCCAUGUUAAUGUGCAAUCACAGAGACUCAAUUCAGCGUGGGAUUUCGAUAUGUUUUGGUUUAGGGAUUGAUAAUCUUCAUUUAAAUAGACAUAGUGACCAUUAUUCUCUCUCAUGUUUUUCUAAAGUUACCGCUACAAAACAGCAACCUGUUAAAUGAAGGUAAUUAAUGAAAAAAAACUUCCAAUUGCAGUAAUAAGCUUUUCAAUUUAUCAUAUACUACACACACAAUCAACUCUCAAUCAGAGAUUGACGACACAAAUAUACAUUAAAAAUUCAUUAAUUUAUCAUUCACUUCAAAUGUUAUUUAAAAAAUGAUUCAUCAAAAUCAAAAUUGAGUCCAAAGUCUUAUGAAACCAUCAAUUAUGAGGUGAUUAUGCGUUUAAACGUAUAUAUAUUAAUUAAAUUUAAUAUAUAGUAGGUGUGAAACUCGUGUAUUACGCAUAGUUUAUUAAAAAAAUUAAUAUAAUCUUCUAAACCUUAAGAAAUUAUUAAAGUAAUGGUUUUACUUAUAUACAAAGUUUUUGAUGAAUAAGUAUGUAGUUGAAUCCAAUGUACUAAGAAUUAGUAUUGAGAUGGUAACACUCUAAUUUGGUAAGUUUUGCAUUUAACCCUCUUUAUAAAAAACUUUGCACUUUGGUCCUUUAGCUAGUAUACUAGGUGGUACGCUUGGCGUACUAGCCUGAUAUUGAUCACGGGUUCCAUCCACGUAUGCGGCGCGUACAUGGAGUACGCAUGGCGUAUGCAGGCUUGGGACAAACCCUAAUUUUUAGGGUUUGUGCCCUAUUCAAGCAUCAUAAACUCACCUCCUGGACAUUUUAGACCAACCCAAUAUCGCCCUAGCCUUUGUUUUAAAAAAAAUACAUACCAGGAACCCAACAUUACACUAAUAUCGCCCUAGCCUUUGUUUUGGUGCUUUUGAGCUCUUGUGAAACAUUUUGGUGUGUUCUUGUGUAUUUUGAAGUGGUAGAGGAGAUUGAAGGCUUAUUCAUUGGAGUGGAGCUUAGAGAUCCGGAUUUGGCAUCACCAUUUCGAGAUCUUUGAGGUAUAAAGUUUGUAUCUUGCCAACUUCUUGUAUAGAUCUACUCUUGGGUUCGUUUAUGACUACUUUGGUCCCUUUUUGUUGGUCCUUGUGAGAAAAGGUCGUUUCAGAAGCUUAACCCUUUAGAUCUGGACAUUUUAGGAGUCCCUUAUGCCUAAAAAUGCAAACUUUAUGGUGUUAAUGGAAUCAUGCAUGAGUUAAGACCUUUGUUAAGCUCUUUUGAGCUCUAGAGCCCCAUUAUGUCAUGCAUGCAUGUAAAGUUCCCAACUUUACGUGAUAAGCCAUGUUUUGAGACAAGGUCUAAGAGUAUGGAGUAGAGCUGAACCGUUUAAGUGCUUAAUGAAGUGGGAAUGGCACACCGGGGAGUAUGGCGGGCGGUGCGCUGCACGUAAUAGCCCUAGAAACAGUAUGCAUAGCGUACGAGCUAAGUACCUCCCGUGUACUCAACAUAUGGGUUUGGGUUAGACAUUCACGGUGUUGUGCCAUUGUUUGGGAUUCCAUUUCUUACGCCUUGUUGGACCAACAGACUUUUGUGUUGGACUUAAACUAGCUUGUUAGGCUUCAUUGGAUUUUAGGCCCAUGAUGGGUCUUAGACCCAAUUUCGAAGAUUGGUCCACAAUUUGGCCUUGGGUUGUCAAUUAGAGUUUGGGAUUUUUAGUAAUAGGAUUGGGCCUUUCUUUGGGCAAUAGAUUAGACCAAUGAUUUUUGAUUAAGACCUAAUUAAUAAAUUGGAUAUUUUUAAUAUUCAUAGCACGGGGAUUUUCGGACGAGAAGCCAGAAAUUUAUUUGUGUCAUCCAGUAGUUUGAGGUGAUUCUUUAUCACCAUGUUUAGCGGGUCGAAGGCACCAAUACUGACCCAUGGCUUACUAUGUUAGAGGGUUAGACGUUUGCAUGACUCUUGCAUGUGCAUAUAUUUGUAUGCUUAACGGGCGGGGCCCAAUGCUUAUUCUGUAUGUUAUUACUUGCUAUACUUGUAUGUCUGUAUGUUGGGCACGGCCCGUUAUACUUAGUGGGUGCGGCCCAUUUUGCGAGUUAGUGCGAGGCCCGUUAUACUUAGUGGGCGGGGUCCGUUACACUCAUCGGCAGGGCCCAUUAUAUGUUUGAUAUGUGUGGUAUGUGGUAUCUGGGGGAAAGUCAUUAAGCUUCCUGCUUAUGUUUUUUUUUAUUUUAUUUUAUUAUUUUUUUUUUAUGUUUCAGGUACUUCUAUUAUAAAGGGGAAGAGCUCUGGGUGAUUGUAGUGCACACACUUUGAACUAUCUUGGUUGUAUGAAUAAGUUUUGAGUUACUAUUUUAUAAAUUCUAAAAUGAAAAUUUUGGGUUUUAUUUUUGGGACGUUACAGAGAUAUUUUAUAUAAUUGUAAUGAAUCACAAAUUUCCAAAUAUUUCUUUGAAAACAACAUUAGAUGUGUUAUUGGUAAUGUUACAUCAUUGUCUAAAAUUAAUAUUUUCAAUUUAUUUCUGCUAUGAACUCUAUUGAAAAAACAAACAUAGAAAUAAAAUUAGCCGUACUUAAAAAGAGAGGAAUAAUGGCUUGAUUAUUAUCGAAAAUUUUGAGAAUUAUUAAAAAGGUUACACAUAUAUGAGAACUAAUAUUUUAGUGUAUAAAGAUGAAUGAUACAUAUAAAUUAGCAAAACCAAAUUUUCCCUUGAAAAUAAUAAUAAUAAUAAUAAUAAUAAUAAUAAUAAUAAUAAUAAUAAUAAUAAUAAUAAUAAUAAUAAUAAUAAAUUGUUAAUGCAUGCAUUACUCAAUCUACUGGUGUUAAUUAUGUAAAUCUUAUAAAAAUUAGGGGUCCCAAUGGAAAUUUACAAUAUGAUAUGAUGAGUACAACACCAAGAAAAUGCUUGGACCAACUUUGAUGUGUUCGGAAAAACACUAACAAUUUAGUCUCUCACGUGUCAACAACCAAAUUACCAAUUUAUUCACGAAAUAUAUUUAUAAAUAAAAUUAAUUUAAUAUAAAUUUACCCUUUUGCUAGCAGUCCAAUUCUUUAGUGCAUAUUUAUUUUUUCAGAUUCUUCCAUUAUUCUGAUUUGCAAUAAUCAUUUUUAAAUGUCUAAGUUUAAGUUUGGAAUUAUAAUUAUGAUAAAUAAGAAUUCAAAAAGCAUAAUACCAUGUUAUUAUGUUUUAAAUUAAAAGGUGAAAUUGUUUAUAUUAAUAAUAUACAAUAUGCGAUAGAACAAAUAUACUUGUUAACCUUUCAACCCCAUGUAUUCUAUAAGACUAAUCCAUGUACUAUUUAGACUAUUUUUCGUGUCGUACAGCCGCAACAAAGAAAGCAUUUAGGGUGGAAAAGAAUGGAAAAAACAUUCAAGUUUGCAAAAUCUAGUGUUUUUUUUGGGGGAAUUGUACAACUACAAUGGUUCAAUUUUAAAGCUAAAGUUGCAUAAAAUGGUUUCUAGUGUCGAACACUUCUUCCAAUGAACAUUUAAUAGGAACCAAACAUAAAUAUAUUUACAUUAAAUAGUAACUUGAACAAAAUAAUAAUAAGAAAAGUUAAAGAACAUGUAAAUGACCUAUAUUUGAGGGAUGACUAGUUCUCCAAGAUAAUGGCCUACUAUCAAGAGGUAGACCAUUGGUCUUAAUGUUGCUCACUCUGAUAUGAAGACUUUUUCAUUCAUUAAUUUAAGUAGCAACUUACUUUCAAUUAUGUGUUUAAAGUAGCAUCACAACUUCAUUUAUUUCGAUUACAAUUUUUAAAAUAAUAUGUAAGAUGCUAUGAUAAACAAAACAAUGAAAGUACAUUGCUUUUUUUCCCGGUUAAAAUAACAAAGUGGUCCACUUUCGCCAUCUCCCUUUAUUAUUGCAAUGGCAGGACUCAACAUUGCCAUUCAAGAAGCUUGUGAAAAAUUCUUAUUUCACGACAUUCGCCUCCCAAAGAGUGACUCUAACCUCUCUCAUCCUUUCUACACCGAUGAUGCGCUCUUUAUAGGCGAUUGGUCACAGAACAACCUCAAAAACUUAGCAAGAAUACUUUGGUGCUUCCACGUGGCCUCCGCUUUAAAGUUGACUUUUAUAAAUCGAAGGUGUUUCGUAUUGGUGUCUCCGAGAGGAAAUUGGCUUGUAAUGCUAGGAUACUUGGGUGUGAUGUAGGAUCCUUUCCUUUCAAUUACCUUGGGGUCCUGGUGGGAGCAAAUAUGAAUCUCAUUAAAAAUUGGAAGCUCAAAGUUUAAGCUAGGUUCUCUUCUUGGAAAGUUAACACGUUAUCGAUUGGUGGGUGUCUCACCCUUUUGAAGUCGGUCUUAGGAAGCCUACCUCUAUACUAUUUCUCAAUUUUCAAGGCUCAUAUUAGUGUUAUUGAGUCCCUUGAAAAAAUUUGUAGAAUAUUUCUUUGGGGUGGAACCGACAAGAAGAGAAAAAUACUUUGGGUCGCUUGGCCUAAAUUAUUAGCUUAAAAGGAAAAUGGAGGUCUUGGUGUUGGUUCAUUGCGUGCACUCAACAUUGCACUAUUGGUCAAACGAAUUUGGAGACCAAACGAUGUUAAAAAAAUCUACAGGGAAUAACAUUAUUACAAGCAUACACAACCUACAUAGAAAGCCAUUAAAAUUGCUCUCAAAAAGAUCAUUAAACGGCAUAUGGAACAACAUUGUAAAGGCAAACUCGGAACUUGAGAUGAUGGGAGUCGUCCCAGAUAACUUUAUUUUUUGUGAUUCUAGGAAACGGUGAGGAUACCAACUUCAGGAAUGAAAUUUAGCAAGGUACAUCUUCCUUCUCCACACAAUUGCCAAACAUAUUAUGCAUUAGAGAAGUGUAAAUCGGCGUACAUUUUGUAAUUUAUAUUUUGUUUUGAUGUCGUAUUUUCCCUUAAUCUCUGUACUCUCAAAAUUGUCUUUUUUGGUUGGCGCCUUGCUUAGCGACUUGCUAAGCUUGGCCUUAAUAAAUUCUCAUUGGUUCCAAAUAAUAAAAAAAAGUUAAUUUUCUGAUGGUUCGCAUAAAGGUGCGUACAUAUGACAUUUAUUAACACAAACAAAAACUCAGGAGUUCAUACUCAAUAAGAACAAUCCAAAUAAUUUAGAUAAUACUAUCGAGAAAUCCCUGUAGGUGAGUGUAAAUGGCUAUACAUGAUAUCACAUAGUCAUAAAUUUUAAUGACAGCCUUGAAAAAAUGUCUCAAAUUAAGUUGUUUGAUUGAAUUGGUAAAAUGUAGUAGUUAACCCAAAAGUUUUUCGGAAGGUUCAUUCAUUAUCAAAAGUUAAAAGUUGUUUCGAUGAGUGAAAUCUUUAAUCCGUUAUAUAGUCAUAGAAUAAGAAAAUAAUGUGUUAGUAUUUUUUUACUAAUCCGUUAUAGAUAACAAUCUGAAAUGAAUAUUUCAUUGAUUAUGUAUUUAGAAUGAUACAAAACUUCAAAAACGUUCUUUAAUGGAAUUGUAGUUUUUCUGUUCUAGAGCACUAAUGAUCCUUUGGGUUACUACUUUUCAACCCCAAAGUAAUAUCAUUGUCUUAAGAUUUCAUCAGCAGUCGAAAAUACAAAUACAACCAUAAUGGCUCAUAUCACUUGAGAGCUCGCAAAUUCCAUUGCCCUUGUGUUUUUGAUAACAUUGCUCACGACAAUCACCAAGAGUACAAGCAUUUGGAUCCAACACCUCUGUACAUCUAUGCUGUCCAUUCACAGUGGAAGCUCCAACUGAAAAAUGAAAAAUAAAAUAAAAUAAACACGUUAAAUUUUAAUACGAACCAUAAAGUAAUAGAUAUUACAUAUAUGGCUAUCUUAAUAAAUAAAAAUAGAAGUCCUUGUAUGAAAAAUUCUCCAGCAAGAGAUUGGACAUGUUUGCAAUCAAUUAACAAAAUAUUAUCGAAUGCCUGUUCCCAGUUACAAAGAAACUUCAUGUAUAUUAAAAUUAAAAUAAUACCGUUCCAAAAAAAAUAUUUUAAUUUUAAAAUAAAAUUUUGGAAGCUAAACAUAUACAGAUCGAGAACACAAACCUGAGAUUACAACAAUGAAAACUAAGAAGAAAGAUGCAAGCUUGGCCAUGUUAAUGUGCAAUCACAGAGACUCAAUUCAGCGUGGGAUUUCGAUAUGUUUUGGUUUAGGGAUUGAUAAUCUUCAUUUAAAUAGACAUAGUGACCAUUAUUCUCUCUCAUGUUUUUCUAAAGUUACCGCUACAAAACAGCAACCUGUUAAAUGAAGGUAAUUAAUGAAAAAAAACUUCCAAUUGCAGUAAUAAGCUUUUCAAUUUAUCAUAUACUACACACACAAUCAACUCUCAAUCAGAGAUUGACGACACAAAUAUACAUUAAAAAUUCAUUAAUUUAUCAUUCACUUCAAAUGUUAUUUAAAAAAUGAUUCAUCAAAAUCAAAAUUGAGUCCAAAGUCUUAUGAAACCAUCAAUUAUGAGGUGAUUAUGCGUUUAAACGUAUAUAUAUUAAUUAAAUUUAAUAUAUAGUAGGUGUGAAACUCGUGUAUUACGCAUAGUUUAUUAAAAAAAUUAAUAUAAUCUUCUAAACCUUAAGAAAUUAUUAAAGUAAUGGUUUUACUUAUAUACAAAGUUUUUGAUGAAUAAGUAUGUAGUUGAAUCCAAUGUACUAAGAAUUAGUAUUGAGAUGGUAACACUCUAAUUUGGUAAGUUUUGCAUUUAACCCUCUUUAUAAAAAACUUUGCACUUUGGUCCUUUAGCUAGUAUACUAGGUGGUACGCUUGGCGUACUAGCCUGAUAUUGAUCACGGGUUCGAUCCACGUAUGCGGCGCGUACAUGGAGUACGCAUGGCGUAUGCAGGCUUGGGACAAACCCUAAUUUUUAGGGUUUGUGCCCUAUUCAAGCAUCAUAAACUCACCUCCUGGACAUUUUAGACCAACCUAAUAUCGCCCUAGCCUUUGUUUUAAAAAAAAACAUACCAGGAACCCAACAUUACACUAAUAUCGCCCUAGCCUUUGUUUUGGUGCUUUUGAGCUCUUGUGAAGCAUUUUGGUGUGUUCUUGUGUAUUUUGAAGUGGUAGAGGAGAUUGAAGGCUUAUUCAUUGGAGUGGAGCUUAGAGAUCCGGAUUUGGCAUCACCAUUUCGAGAUCUUUGAGGUAUAAAGUUUGUAUCUUGCCAACUUCUUGUAUAGAUCUACUCUUGGGUUCGUUUAUGACUACUUUGGUCCCUUUUUGUUGGUCCUUGUGAGAAAAGGUCGUUUCAGAAGCUUAACCCUUUAGAUCUGGACAUUUUAGGAGUCCCUUAUGCAUAAAAAUGCAAACUUUAUGGUGUUAAUGGAAUCAUGCAUGAGUUAAGACCUUUGUUAAGCUCUUUUGAGCUCUAGAGCCCCAUUAAGUCAUGCAUGCAUGUAAAGUUCCCAACUUUACGUGAUAAGCCAUGUUUUGAGACAAGGUCUAAGAGUAUGGAGUAGAGCUGAACCGUUUAAGUGCUUAAUGAAGUGGGAAUGGCACACCGGGGAGUAUGGCGGGCGGUGCGCUGCACGUAAUAGCCCUAGAAACAGUAUGCAUAGCGUACGAGCUAAGUACCCCCCGUGUACUCAACAUAUGGGUUUGGGUUAGACAUUCACGGUGUUGUGCCAUUGUUUGGGCUUCCAUUUCUUACGCCUUGUUGGACCAACAGACUUUUGUGUUGGACUUAAACUAGCUUGUUAGGCUUCAUUGGAUUUUAGGCCCAUGAUGGGUCUUAGGCCCAAUUUCGAAGAUUGGUCCACAAUUGGGCCUUGGGUUGUCAAUUAGAGUUUGGGAUUUUUAGUAAUAGGAUUGGGCCUUUCUUUGGGCAAUAGAUUAGACCAAUGAUUUUUGAUUAAGACCUAAUUAAUAAAUUGGAUAUUUUUAAUAUUCAUAGCACGGGGAUUUUCGGACGAGAAGCCAGAAAUUUAUUUGUGUGAUUCAGUAGUUUGAGGUGAUUCUUUAUCACCAUGUUUAGCGGGUCGAAGGCACCAAUACUGACCCAUGGCUUACUAUGUUAGAGGGUUAGACGUUUGCAUGACUCUUGCAUGUGCAUAUAUUUGUAUGCUUAGCGGGCGGGGCCCAAUGCUUAUUCUGUAUGCUAUUACUUGCUAUACUUGUAUGUCUGUAUGUUGGGCACGGCCCGUUAUACUUAGUGGGUACGGCCCAUUUUGCGAGUUAGUGCGAGGCCCGUUAUACUUAGUGGGUGGGGCCCGUUACACUCAUCGGCAGGGCCCAUUAUAUGUUUGAUAUGUGUGGUAUGUGGUAUCUGGGGGAAAGUCAUUAAGCUUCGUGCUUAUGGUUUUUUUUUUAUGUUUCAGGUAUUUCUAUUAUAAAGGGGAAGAGCUCGGGGUGAUUGUAGUGCACACACUUUGAUCUAUCUUGGUUGUAUGAAUAAGUUUUGAGUUACUAUUUUAUAAAUUCUAAAAUGAAAAUUUUGGGUUUUAUUUUUGGGACAUUAUAGAGAUAUUUUAUAUAAUUGUAAUGAAUCACAAAUUUCCAAAUAUUUCUUUGAAAACAACAUUAGAUGUGUUAUUGGUAAUGUUACAUCAUUGUCUAAAAUUAAUAUUUUCAAUUUAUUUCUGCUAUGAACUCUAUUGAAAAAACAAACAUAGAAAUAAAAUUAGCCGUACUUAAAAAGAGAGGAAUAAUGGCUUGAUUAUUAUCGAAAAUUUUGAGAAUUAUUAAAAAGGUUACACAUAUAUGAGAACUAAUAUUUUAGUGUAUAAAGAUGAAUGAUACAUAUAAAUUAGCAAAACCAAAUUUUCCCUUGAAAAUAAUAAUAAUAAUAAUAAUAAUAAUAAUAAUAAUAAUAAUAAUAAUAAUAAUAAUAAUAAUAAUAAUAAUAAAUUGUUAAUGCAUGCAUUACUCAAUCUACUGGUGUUAAUUAUGUAAAUCUUAUAAAAAUUAGGGGUCCCAAUGGAAAUUUACAAUAUGAUAUGAUGAGUACAACACCAAGAAAAUGCUUGGACCAACUUUGAUGUGUUCGGAAAAACACUAACAAUUUAGUCUCUCACGUGUCAACAACCAAAUUACCAAUUUAUUCACGAAAUAUAUUUAUAAAUAAAAUUAAUUUAAUAUAAAUUUACCCUUUUGCUAGCAGUCCAAUUCUUUAGUGCAUAUUUUUUUUUUCAGAUUCUUCCAUUAUUCUGAUUUGCAAUAAUCAUUUUUAAAUGUCUAAGUUUAAGUUUGGAAUUAUAAUUAUGAUAAAUAAGAAUUCAAAAAGCAUAAUACCAUGUUAUUAUGUUUUAAAUUAAAAGGUGAAAUUGUUUAUAUUAAUAAUAUACAAUAUGCGAUAGAACAAAUAUACUUGUUAACCUUUCAACCCCAUGUAUUCUAUAAGACUAAUCCAUGUACUAUUUAGACUAUUUUUCGUGUCGUACAGCCGCAACAAAGAAAGCAUUUAGGGUGGAAAAGAAUGGAAAAAACAUUCAAGUUUGCAAAAUCUAGUGUUUUUUUUGGGGGAAUUGUACAACUACAAUGGUUCAAUUUUAAAGCUAAAGUUGCAUAAAAUGGUUUCUAGUGUCGAACACUUCUUCCAAUGAACAUUUAAUAGGAACCAAACAUAAAUAUAUUUACAUUAAAUAGUAACUUGAACAAAAUAAUAAUAAGAAAAGUUAAAGAACAUGUAAAUGACCUAUAUUUGAGGGAUGACUAGUUCUCCAAGAUAAUGGCCUACUAUCAAGAGGUAGACCAUUGGUCUUAAUGUUGCUCACUCUGAUAUGAAGACUUUUUCAUUCAUUAAUUUAAGUAGCAACUUACUUUCAAUUAUGUGUUUAAAGUAGCAUCACAACUUCAUUUAUUUCGAUUACAAUUUUUAAAAUAAUAUGUAAGAUGCUAUGAUAAACAAAACAAUGAAAGUACAUUGCUUUUUUUCCCGGUUAAAAUAACAAAGUGGUCCACUUUCGCCAUCUCCCUUUAUUAUUGCAAUGGAAGGACUCAACAUUGCCAUUCAAGAAGCUUGUGAAAAAUUCUUAUUUCACGACAUUCGCCUCCCAAAGAGUGACUCUAACCUCUCUCAUCCUUUCUACACCGAUGAUGCGCUCUUUAUAGGCGAUUGGUCACAGAACAACCUCAAAAACUUAGCAAGAAUACUUUGGUGCUUCCACGUGGCCUCCGCUUUAAAGUUGACUUUUAUAAAUCGAAGGUGUUUCGUAUUGGUGUCUCCGAGAGGAAAUUGGCUUGUAAUGCUAGGAUACUUGGGUGUGAUGUAGGAUCCUUUCCUUUCAAUUACCUUGGGGUCCUGGUGGGAGCAAAUAUGAAUCUCAUUAAAAAUUGGAAGCUCAAAGUUUAAGCUAGGUUCUCUUCUUGGAAAGUUAACACGUUAUCGAUUGGUGGGUGUCUCACCCUUUUGAAGUCGGUCUUAGGAAGCCUACCUCUAUACUAUUUCUCAAUUUUCAAGGCUCAUAUUAGUGUUAUUGAGUCCCUUGAAAAAAUUUGUAGAAUAUUUCUUUGGGGUGGAACCGACAAGAAAAGAAAAAUACUUUGGGUCGCUUGGCCUAAAUUAUUAGCUUAAAAGGAAAAUGGAGGUCUUGGUGUUGGUUCAUUGCGUGCACUCAACAUUGCACUAUUGGUCAAACGAAUUUGGAGACCAAACGAUGUUAAAAAAAUCUAUAGGGAAUAACAUUAUUACAAGCAUACACAACCUACAUAGAAAGCCAUUAAAAUUGCUCUCAAAAAGAUCAUUAAACGGCAUAUGGAACAACAUUGUAAAGGCAAACUCGGAACUUGAGAUGAUGGGAGUCGUCCCAGAUAACUUUAUUUUUUGUGAUUCUAGGAAACGGUGAGGAUACCAACUUCAGGAAUGAAAUUUAGCAAGGUACAUCUUCCUUCUCCACACAAUUGCCAAGCAUAUUAUGCAUUAGAGAAGUGUAAAUCGGUGUACAUUUUGUAAUUUAAAUUUUGUUUUGAUGUCGUAUUUUCCCUUAAUCUCAGUACUCUAAAAAUUGUCUUUUUUGGUUGGUUCCUUGCUUGGCGACUUGCUAAGCUUGGCCUUAAUAAAUUC
rnacentral:lncRNA from 1 species